UACGGAGGGGGCGAGCGUUAUUCGGAAUUAUUGGGCGUAAAGGGCGCGUAGGCGGCUGGACAAGUCAAAGGUGAAAUCCCUCGGCUCAACUGAGGAACUGCCUUUGAAACUGUCCGGCUUGAGGCCGGGAGGGGGUAGCGGAAUUCCCAGUGUAGCGGUGAAAUGCGUAGAUAUUGGGAGGAACACCAGUGGCGAAGGCGGCUACCUGGACCGGUUCUGACGCUGAUGCGCGAAAGCGUGGGUAGCAAACAGG
rnacentral:rRNA from 1 species